ensembl:lncRNA
GUCCUGGAGAGAAGAGCAGCUCCCACCAGUUCAGCUUCAACACAAACCAUGUCCCCUGCAUCUCUGCUGCUGGCAGCUGCCUCCUGUCAGUCUCUCUGGGUUUGGAGGAAAGACAAAGCAAAGAAAAUUGCCUGAAGUGUACAGAGUUAUUUUUAACUCACUCAGCCAGCCUCCAUGACUGACCAGCCUGGUCAACCACUGACCGUCUCCUGUAAGGUGUCCAGUGUAACGGUCGUACUCACACAGGCUGAACAAUCAGUCCAGGGCACCCUUGCAGGAUCCCUCAAACUCACAUGUGCCUGUAGUGGAUUCACUCUAAGCAGCAAUUAUAUGUACUGGAUCUGCCAGGUACCUGGACUGAUUAUUCAGAGAGUAGCAAGUGCAAUGCCUCUGGAGUACAGGGCUGAUUCACAGCAUGGAAGGACAGCACUAAUGUAUGCACAUGAGCCAGUUGAUGUCAGAGGACUCUGCAGUGUAUUACUGUGCUAGAGAUUCACUAUGGUUAAACUAAUGGGAAUAGCUGUACACAAACCAUCUGGUAGAGAAAGGAAGGACGUGCACAAACACACAGACACACGUAUGGUAUGACCAGUAGACCAUGACAAAGGGAUAUACAUGAGGAACAAUUCUGUGGAG